GUCCACGCCCUAAACGAUGAUGACUAGUUGUUGGAGGAGUUAAAUCCUUUAGUAACGCAGCUAACGCGUGAAGUCAUCCGCCUGGGGAGUACGGUCGCAAGAUUAAAACUCAAAGGAAUUGACGGGGGCCCGCACAAGCGGUGGAUGAUGUGGUUUAAUUCGAUGCAACGCGAAAACCUUACCUCCCUUGACAUGUCAGGAAUCCUCCAGAGACGGAGGAGUGCCCGAAAGGGAGCCUGAACACAGGUGCUGCAUGGCUGUCGU
rnacentral:rRNA from 1 species